UACGUAGGGUGCGAGCGUUGUCCGGAAUUACUGGGCGUAAAGAGCUCGUAGGUGGUUUGUCGCGUUGUUCGUGAAAACCUGAGGCGUUAACCUUGGGCGUGCGGGCGAUACGGGCAGACUGGAGUACUGCAGGGGAGACUGGAAUUCCUGGUGUAGCGGUGGAAUGCGCAGAUAUCAGGAGGAACACCGGUGGCGAAGGCGGGUCUCUGGGCAGUAACUGACGCUGAGGAGCGAAAGCGUGGGGAGCGAACAGGAUUAGAUACCCCAGUA
rnacentral:rRNA from 1 species